UUUUGUUUUUCCCCCCCCUUGAGUAAUAGCAAUUUGCAUCUGUGUAAAGCAGAAAAAAAAAAAAGUCAGAGCAAUGAGAUUAUGCUGACAAGUGCCUGAUACAAACAGGAGGAGAAUGGGAACUGACUGACUGAUGGAACCAGACAGUAUCUCUCAGCUCAAGAUGUUUUGGAAUUCCCUUUUCCUGUAGAUAUUUGAAUUGGAUGACUACUCAAAUUGACCAGCAUGUGGCAUUGACUGGAGAGUGCCUGAAGUACUGGAGGGCAGGAAUCCAGGUGAUGCUAUGGAACUGGAAGUGAGAAUUGAUGAAAAUGAUGAUACUUCAUGACUGGGAUACAGAUACUGUUCUUAGGCAAAACCAGUCAGGCCUCCUAAUGCAGGAUAGUGAAG
rnacentral:lncRNA from 1 species